GAUGAACGCUGGCGGCGUGCCUAAUACAUGCAAGUCGAGCGAACGGACGAGAAGUUUGCUUUUCUGAUGUUAGCGGCGGACGGGUGAGUAACACGUGGGUAACCUACCUAUCAGACUGGGAUAACUUCGGGAAACCGGAGCUAAUCCCGGAUAAUAUUUUCAACGGCAUGGUUCAAAAGUGAAAGAUGGUCUUGCUGUCACUUAUAGAUGGAUCCGCGCUGCAUUAGCUAGUUGGUAAGGUAACGGCUUACCAAGGCAACGAUGCAUAGCCGACCUGAGCGGGUGAACGGCCACACUGGGACUGAGCCACGGUCCAGACUCCUACGGGAGGCAGCAGUAGGGAAUCUUCCGCGAUGGGCGAAAGCCUGACGGAGCAACGCCGCGUGAGUGAUGAAGGUCUUCGGAUCGUAAAACUCUGUUAUUAGUGAAGAACAUAUGUGUAAGUGACUGUGCACAUCUUGACGGUACCUAAUCAGAAAGCCACGGCUAACUACGUG
rnacentral:rRNA from 1 species